UUCCGUAGGUGAACCUGCGGAAGGAUCAUUAGUGAAUCUUCAAAAGUCGGCUCUGUGGAUUGUGCUGGUGGAGACACAUGUGCACGUCCGCAAGGUCGCAAACCCCACACACCUGUGCAUCUAUGACUCUGAGUGCCGCUUUGCAUGGCCUUGACCGGCCUGGCGCUCGAGUACUUUCACACACUCUUGAAUGUAACGGAAUGUCUUGUUGUGCAUAACGUACAAACAGAAACAACUUUCAACAACGGAUCUCUUGGCUCUCGCAUCGAUGAAGAACGCAGCGAAAUGCGAUAAGUAAUGUGAAUUGCAGAAUUCAGUGAAUCAUCGAAUCUUUGAACGCACCUUGCACCCUUUGGUAUUCCGAAGGGUACGCCCGUUUGAGUGUCAUUGUAAUCUCACYACCAUYGACUUUGGUCUUUUGGUAUGUGGACUUGGAUGUUGCCGUCGAUGUCUACGGCUCGUCUGAAAUGCUUCAGUGUACCCCGCUUUGCGGCGUAUUCGGUGUGAUACAUCUUCACCGGAGUUGAUCCUUUUGGGGGUCGCGUCUGUAAUGUGUGGCUCUAUGCUUCCAACCGUCUCUCGAGACAAUCUCUGACAAUUUGACCUCAAAUCGGGUGGGACUACCCGCUGAACUUAAGCAUAUCAAUAAGCGGAGGAAAAGAAACUAACAAGGAUUCCCCUAGUAACGGCGAGUGAAGAGGGAAAAGCUCAAAUUUUGAAUCUGGUGUCUUUGACUCCCGAGUUGUAAUCUAGAGAAGUGUUUUCCGUGUCGGACCGUGCACAAGUUCCCUGGAACGGGGCGUCAUAGAGGGUGAGAAUCCCGUAUAUGGCACGGACUGCCGAUGCUUUUGUGAUACACUCUCAACGAGUCGAGUUGUUUGGGAAUGCAGCUCAAAAUGGGUGGUAAAUUCCAUCUAAAGCUAAAUAUUGGCGAGAGACCGAUAGCGAACAAGUACCGUGAGGGAAAGAUGAAAAGCACUUUGGAAAGAGAGUGAAACAGUACGUGAAAUUGUUGAAAGGGAAGCGUUUGAAGUCAGUCGUAUCUGGCGGGAUUCAGCUGGGCUUUUGCCCGGUGUACUUCUCGUCCGAUGGGUCAGCAUCAAUUUCGACCGGGGGAAAAAGAUGUGGGGAAUGUGGCUGUCUWCGGGCAGUGUUAUAGCCCCAUGUUGUAUGCCUCGGUUGGGAUUGAGGAACGCAGCGCGCCUAUAGGCCAGGGGCUACCCGCCUCUUGACACGCGCUUAGGAUGCUGGCAUAAUGGCUUUAAGCGACCCGUCUUG
rnacentral:rRNA from 1 species